rnacentral:rRNA from 1 species
GACGAACGUUGGCGGCGUGCUUAAUACAUGCAAGUCAACUGAAGCACCGGUAGUAAUACUGGUGUGGAGGUGGCGCACGGGUGAGUAACACGUAGGUAAUCUGCCUUCAGGUCUGACAUAACCCCGAGAAAUCGGGGCUAAAUAGCAGAUGAUGCAGCGGCUUGACAUCAAGACAGUUGUUAAAGCUUCGGCGCCUGAAGAUGAGCCUGCGUCUGAUUAGCUAGUUGGCGGAGUAAUGGCCCACCAAGGCUACGAUCAGUAACUGGUCUGAGAGGAUGAUCAGUCACACUGGAACUGAGACACGGUCCAGACUCCUACGGGAGGCAGCAGUAAGGAAUAUUGCUCAAUGGAGAAAUCCUGAAGCAGCAACGCCGCGUGAGGGAUGAAGGCUUUGCUCGUAAACCUCUGUAAGUGAGGGAAAAAAUUUCCGAACUCUGUGGAAUAUGAUGGUACCUCAAAAGUAAGCCCGGACUAACUAACGUGACCAGCACG